rnacentral:misc_RNA from 1 species
AACUUUUGGCAACGUGUCUCGUGGCUCUCGCAUCGAUUAAGAACGCAGCGAAAUGCGAUAAGUAAUGUGAAUUGCAGAAUUCAGUGAAUCAUCGAAUCUUUGAACGCACCUUGCGCUCCUUGGUAUUCCGAGGAGCAUGCCUGUUUGAGUGUCAUUAAAUUCUCAACCCUUCUAGCUUCUAGCCUUGCAGCUGGUUGUGGCUUGGAUAUUGGGAGCAUUUGCAGGCCUCAUCUCUUGAGGUCAGCUCUCCUGAAAUACAUUAGCAGAACUGUUUGCAAUCUGUCAAACUGGCAUGAUAAUUAUCUAUGCCACACAGAUGACAAUUGCUUUUCAUUAGUUCAGCUCCCAACUGUCUCUCUUGGGACAACUUGUGAAAUUGUUGACCUCAAAUCAGGUAGGACUACCCGCUGAACUUAAGCAUAUCAAUAAGCGGAGGCU